AAACGUGAGAACCUAUGCUUUGUUGGUUGAAUGCUUUACCAAGUAUUGUGUGGUCCGUGAAGCUAUCAGACAUUUCCGUGGUCUAAAGAACUUUGAAGGCGGAACACAAGUGCUAUAUAAUGAUGGGAAGUACGGGGAUCCACUUUCAUUGUAUCUUCGUGCUCUAUGUAGAGAAGGGAGGAUUGUUGAGUUGUUGGAAGCACUUGAAGCUAUGGCUAAAGAUAACCAGCCAAUCCCACCAAGAGCAAUGAUCUUAAGCAGAAAAUAUCGUACAUUAGUUAGUUCAUGGAUUGAACCUUUGCAGGAAGAAGCUGAACUUGGAUAUGAGAUAGAUUACAUAGCCAGGUAUGUUGCUGAAGGUGGACUCACAGGUGACCGCAAACGAUGGGUCCCAAGAAGGGGAAAAACUCCUUUAGAUCCUGAUGCCCAAGGGUUUAUAUAUUCCAAUCCUAGGGAAACCUCUUUUAAACAAAGAUGUUUUGAAGAGUGGAGGUUGCACCACAGGAAGCUUUUGAAAACCUUACUCAAU
rnacentral:misc_RNA from 1 species